GAUGAACGCUGGCGGCGUGCCUAAUACAUGCAAGUCGAGCGAACAGACGAGGAUCUUGCUCCUCUGACGUUAGCGGCGGACGGGUGAGUAACACGUGUAUAACCUACCUAUAAGACUGGGAUAACUUCGGGAAACCGGAGCUAAUACCGUAUAAUCUAUUGAACCGCAUUGUUCAAUAGUGAAAGACGGUUUUGUUGGCAGUUGUGGAUGGAUCCGCGCCUGAUCAGCUUGUUGGUGGUGUAGUGGCUUAUCAAGGCUACGACGGGUAGCCGGCCUGAGAGGGGGACCGGCCACAUUGGGACUGAGAGACGGCCCAGACUCCUACGGGAGGAAGCAGUGGGGAAUAUUGCACAAUGGGCGGAAACCUGAUGCAGCAACGCCGCGUGCGGGAUGACGGCCGUCGGGUUGUAAACCGCUUUCGCCUGUGACGAAGCGUGAGUGACGGUAAUGGGUAAAGAAGCACCGGCUAACUACGUG
rnacentral:rRNA from 1 species